UGAUGAUACACAACAGUAACACAUUAUGAUUUUGGCGUGAACAUAGUGGGUUCUGUUGAUAAAAUUUGAAGGGACGUAUUUUUAUGAUUCAUGCUAGAUCAUCCGCCGUUGACAAGACCCUCUCUUGGUGAUGAGAAAUACAGUGAGGAGGGCUUUAAUCAACAUGUGUCUUUCUUCAAAGUUAUGCUUGUAUACUUUGCAGAGAAACUGGCAUUGCUGCACGUAAGCUUUUCUCUUAGGACAUGAGGAUGUCUGAUGUAGAUGAAGUGGGAUGUUGUAUUUGUAUAUGGAUAUGAAUUGAUGUAACAUUGUUAUGAUGAUAUACAAUGUCCAUGAGCAAAUUGGUUUAGUUAUAUUGAUGAUAUACAAUGUAUCUAUA